AUCAGUUUUACCGAUCGAAAUCGGACGUGUGCAUAAGUCAGUUUGCGUCGUAAAGAGUUUAUCAGAGGUCGAAUGUUCUUACAGUAUUUUUGGAUUACUGUCAAAACAAAGUUUAAUAUUGUGUCACAUAUUUUAAAAAAUUACUGAAACAAUCAUUUACAUCUUACCUUGAUUUUAACAGUGCACGUGUGUUCAGUCACGAUUACAGCAAAAAAUGAUCAGACGCUUCUUGUGAAUGAUCUAGAGAUAAGGAUCGAUACCGUUUACGAUGUUAACCGAAUAUACAUCGUAGAAUGUAUGGGCUUCUUGAAAUUACUACUGAAUCACUGAUUAAGACGUUCGUCUGAAUACACAUGAUUGCAAAUAUCAUCAUUGUUAGCGAGGAAUUUUCUUACACUUAACAUCAGAAGAAGCGUUGAGACCUCUAUAGGAGAUUUUCGAGGAUAGAACUCUCUAGGAAUGAUGAUUCAAUUUUAACCGGACUCGGAUUGAACUUUGAGCUCGUUCCACUUUAAUAGACUACGAGAUAUUUGUAGUGCAAUACGGUACAUAACUAUCUAAAAUGUAAUUAUAUAUAAAAUAA